UCCAGGAAGGAGUUUCAAGCUCUGUGUGCAGGAGUGUUUAAAAUGCAAGAUCUCCGUCUGGGAGAAAAAUGACUUGAAGAGCCUUAAUGCAAACCUCCAUUCUGUUUUCCCAGCAGCUGUGAGGCUGGCAGGCCCCGUAGGCAGAGAAGGGACUUGCAUGGGCCAUGAUGAUACAUAUUCAGUAGCGAGGAAGACUUGAUUCUGCACCUUGCUGAUUCCAGCUGCCAGAUUCAAACAUCAGAAACUCACAAGGUGAAGGAAGUAUCAGCACCAGUGGACUUUGAGCGCAGCUGAAGGACUGAGUAUGCUCUAAAAGAUGAAAAAGAUGCUCCAUCUGCCUAAAGAGAGUACAUACAACUUCGUCCUGUCACCAGAUGACUUCACGUGGCAAAUGGAAAUACCAUGGGGAAGAAAUUUUUAUUUUGUUUUGUUUUCUAUUUUGUGAGAAUUUUGCUCUUAGAUCCAUGUAGCCUAUCAGCUAGCUAAGCAAGUUAGUGAAUGGGAGUUGGGGGGUAUAUGUGUGUAUUAUAUAGGCCUG